UGUGUAUGUAUAUGUGUGUGUGUGUGUGUGUGUGUGUAUACACACACAUACACACACACAUAUAUAUACACU
rnacentral:miRNA from 1 species